rnacentral:rRNA from 1 species
CCUACGGGUGGCAGCAGUAGGGAAUCUUGCUCAAUGGGGGAAACCCUGAUGCAGCAACGCCGCGUGAACGAUGCAGGUUUUCGGAUUGUAAACCUCUUUUGUCAGAGAAGAAAAUGACGGUAUCUAACUAAUAAGCACCGGCUAACUCCGUGCCAGCAGCCGCGGUAAUACGUAGGAUGCAAGCGUUCUUCGGAUUCACUGGGGGUAAAGGGUGCGUAGGCGGAAUGGAAAGUCAGCGGUAAAAUCGUGGGGCUUAACCAUGCCCCGCCGUUGAAACUGGUGUUCUUGAGUGGGGGAGAGGUAGGUGGAAUUCGUGGUGUAGCGGUGAAAUGCGUAGAGAUCAAGAGGAACACUGAUUGCGAAGGCGGCCUGCCGGAACCUAACUGACGCUGAUGCACGAAAGCGUGGGGAGCGAACAGGAUUAGAUACCCGAGUAGUC